UACAUGUGGGGCAAGCGUUGUUCGGAAUUACUGGGCAUAAAGGGUGCGUAGGCGGGCUAUUAAGUCAGUGGUGAAAGCCCCAAGCUUAACUUGGGAACUGCCAUUGAUACUGAUGGUCUUGAGUACAUUUGAGGUGGGCGGAAUGUGUCAUGUAGCGGUGAAAUGCUUAGAUAUGACACAGAACACCGAUUGCGAAGGCAGCUCACUAAACUGUAACUGACGCUGAGGCACGAAAGCGUGGGGAGCAAACAGG
rnacentral:rRNA from 1 species